UUUCAGUAAAGUUGGGCAGCGAGCCUUAACGAAGCGAGGGCUGUUAUCACCUCUCCUUAGCCCUUUAAGUGCAGCAGGCUCUUUGGUGUCUCUCGCUGAAUGCCGCUUUGUUAAUUGCGACGGUAAACAGGACACAGCGCUGACCAUCGCACUUACCACAGAACCGCUGGGUUUGGGAAAGGAGCCUGGGUCCAGCGGGAGUCACACAUGAAGGAGGGUUCGUAGAAGUACUCAGCAUUUCCUGGACUUGCUUCUAUCAUUUAAAAUGUAUUGCAUACCUUGAAGUGAAUGUAAUGGCUGGCUUAAUUGGAGAUAACUUCACUGAAGUGGCCGUGGUUACCAUUUAUGUCAGCGGUGAAUGUGCCCUUUAACGCUGUGCCCCUCAGGUGAUUGGAUAAAGAUCAGCUUGGUCAAAGACAAACAACGAUGAGGACAAGGUACCAUCUCCAGUGCAACUUCUGUGCUUGGAGGAAGCCAGAUGACGCAUGCUGUGAUUGCCCAUGAGACUGGAGAAUGAGAAACCUGGAUUGGCUGGACAGGAUGGUGUCAAUUAAGCAUGUGGGAAGAUAUUUCCGGACACUGUCACAGCAUCUGAGGAACCAUAUUCCAGCUGUUCUCAGACUUUCCCAUUUCUGGAAGCCUGCCCCUCCUUCAGCUCCAACCACAAAUGUCCACACAAUAGAAAUCCAGUCAUUCUCCAAGAGGGGUUUGUUCUUCCCAUUGUUCCCUGAAUCCCUUGCAAUGCAUCUUUCUGAUUGAACGCUGUCAGCAGAGGGAGCAUCAACAGCACAGGAGACUUCCACCAGGGCUACUGGGUCUGCAUGGAGGAAUGGUAACUUGAGGAAUCUUAAAGACAGAAGGUUUGGCCGUCAUCAUGUACAUCAACGGAAGUUCCAUGACUGGAAAUGUUGACUUAUAUGUAAAAGAUACUGAGCUCUUUAUAUUGAAAUGCAAAGAAAAAGUGCCUGCCUACAUCCAUGUCAGAGUUGCCUAAAAAAAAAAAACCAAAUGGGACAACGUGGGAAAAAUAAGAUUGUGCUUGAGAUCAUUCUCCAAAUUUUUUUUUUUUUUUUUUUUUAGAGAUUUACUUUUUUGUUUCUUUCC
rnacentral:lncRNA from 1 species